UACGUAGGGUGCAAGCGUUGUCCGGAAUUAUUGGGCGUAAAGAGCUCGUAGGCGGUUUGUCGCGUCGGCUGUGAAAGCCCGGAGCUCAACUCCGGGUCUGCAGUCGAUACGGGCAGACUUGAGUGUUGCAGGGGAGACUGGAAUUCCUGGUGUAGCGGUGGAAUGCGCAGAUAUCAGGAGGAACACCAAUGGCGAAGGCAGCUCUCUGGUACGUGACUGACACUGAGACGCGAAAGCGUGGGGAGCGAACAGG
rnacentral:rRNA from 1 species